CGGUCCAGACUCCUACGGGAGGCAGCAGUAGGGAAUCUUCCGCAAUGGGCGAAAGCCUGACGGAGCAACGCGCGUGAGUGAUGAAGGUCUUCGGAUCGUAAAACUCUGUUAUUAGGGAAGAACAAAUGUGUAAGUACUAUGCACGUCUUGACGGUACCUAAUCAGAAAGCCACGGCUAACUACGUGCCAGCAGCCGCGGUAA
rnacentral:rRNA from 1 species